CAGUCGCCGCGGUAAUACAUAGGUCCCGAGCGUUGUCCGGAUUUAUUGGGCGUAAAGGGAGCGCAGGCGGUUUAGUAAGUCUGAAGUUAAAGGCAUUGGCUCAACCAAUGUAUGCUUUGGAAACUGUUAGACUUGAGUGCAGAAGGGGAGAGUGGAAUUCCAUGUGUAGCGGUGAAAUGCGUAGAUAUAUGGAGGAACACCGGUGGCGAAAGCGGCUCUCUGGUCUGUCACUGACGCUGAGGCUCGAAAGCGUGGGUAGCGAACAGGAUUAGAUACCCGCGUAGUCCCUGUCUCUUAUACA
rnacentral:rRNA from 1 species